UACGGGGGGGGCAAGCGUUGUUCGGAAUUACUGGGCGUAAAGGGCUCGUAGGUGGCCAACUAAGUCAGACGUGAAAUCCCUCAGCUUAACUGGGGAACUGCGUCUGAUACUGGAUGGCUUGAGUUUGGGAGAGGGAUGCGGAAUUCCCGGUGUAGGGGUGAAAUCCGUAGAUAUCGGGAGGAAUACCAGCGGCGAAGGCGGCCUUCUGGACGGUGACUGACGCUGAGACGCGAAAGCGUAGGGAGCAAACAGG
rnacentral:rRNA from 1 species